rnacentral:rRNA from 1 species
CCUACGGGUGGCAGCAGUGGGGGAUAUUGCACAAUGGGGGGAACCCUGAUGCAGCGACGCCGCGUGGGUGAAGGAGCGUUUCGGCGCGUAAAGCCCUAUCGGCAGGGAAGAAGAUGACGGUACCUGACCAAGAAGCCCCGGCUAACUACGUGACAGCUGCCGCGGUAAUAAGUGGGGGGCAAGCGUUAUCCGGAUUUACUGGGUGUAACGGGGGCGCAGAGGGCAAUGCAAGCCAGGCGUGAAAGCCCGGGGCCCAACCCCGGGACUGCGCUUGGAACUGGAUGGCUGGAGUACAUGAGGGGCAGGCGGAAUGCCUGGUGUAGCGGUGAAAUGCAUAGAUAUUAGGAGGAACACCGGUGGCGAAGGCAGCCUGCUGGACUGUGACUGACGUUGAGGCCCGAAGGCGUGGGGAGCAAACAGGAUUAGAUACCCGAGUAGUC